rnacentral:rRNA from 1 species
CCUACGGGUGGCAGCAGUGGGGAAUAUUGGGCAAUGGGCGAAAGCCUGACCCAGCAACGCCGCGUGAAGGAAGAAGGCUCUAGGGUUUUAAACCUCUUUUUUCAGGGACGAAGAAAGUGACGGUACCUGAGGAAUAAGCCGCCGCUAACUACGUGCCAGCAGCCGCGGUAAUACGUAGGUGGCAAGCGUUAUCCGGAUGUAUUGGGUGUAAAGGGCGUGUAGGCGGGAGCGCAAGUCAGAUGUGAAAACUCGGGGCUCAACCCUGAGCCUGCAUUUGAAACUGUGUUUCUUGAGUGCCGGUGAGGCAGUCGGAAUUCGGGGUGUAGCGGUGAAAUGCUUAGAUAUACGGAGGAACACCAGUGGCGAAGGCAGCUUACUAAACUGCCACUGACAUUGAUGCUCGAAAGUGUGGGUAUCAAACAGGAUUAGAUACCCCAGUAGUC